GUGAUUUCGCCAGCAGACUUGGAGCAAGUUGGAUGUGCCACACGAAGAGAUGACCGAGCUGCUGGUGGUGACGCACGUCUUUAAUCCCAGCACUCGGGAGGCACAGGCAGGAGGAUCUCUGCUUGCAAUCCAAAGAUAGUCCAACAAGAAAGCUUGCUACACCUUCCCAGUCCCCAGAGCCAAACUGAGGAGGGGAUUAAGCCAUGUGGUGUCUUGCCUUCAACUCCAGGCUGCUACAAAGAUCAAGUCCCAGCUGGGCGCUGUGGCUAUCCUGGAACGCGCUCUGUAGACCAGGCUGGAUCUUGAACUCAUGAAGAUCCACCUGCCUCUGCCUUCCGAGUGCUGGGAUUAAAGACGUGUGCCACUACUGCCCAGCCUGUCAUUUCUAUUAAAGGGUUAAAUGAGACAAAGGCAA